UCGAGUGUCGUCAUCCUGGACAACUCGCCGGGCGCCUACUGGAGCCAUCCAGACAAUGCCAUCCCCAUCAAGUCGUGGUUCAGCGACCCCAGCGACACGGCCCUGCUCAUCCUGCUGCCCAUGCUGGACGCCCUGAGGUUCACAGCAGACGUGCGGUCGGUGCUGAGCCGGAACCUCCAUCAGCACCGCCUCUGGUGACGUCAGCACCUCCUUUCUUCAGGCGUUGGCCCCUGACCUCCGCAGGAUCCCACCUCUGCCACCAUCACCACCACGUGGACUCUGCCACCGAUUCCUGAACUCUGGAGAAGAGCGGAGGGGGGGUCACCCCCCCCAAUUCCCCACCAACCUACUCCCCCCCACACCCGGCCCUGUGCCAAGAAUGGGCGGGGACUGACUCGGAGGGCGGAGCUUAUCCGGCAGCGGGACAAAGAAAGGGGGUGUGCAGCUUCACGGCACGCGGAUGGACGUGUCCGAUCAGGCCCGGGG